GGCCAGGCAGCUGGAGGCUGGGCAGCAGCAGCGCCUGAUCUGCUCUGAGGCCCUUCUGGCUGCGUCUGGAGAUGCGGCUGCUGCUGGUGCUGCCGGUGGUUGCAGAAGUGACCGGCCUUCCGCUGGUGUUUAUAUAUGCAGUUAGCAAGAGUCUACCCGAGCAUGGUCUUAGGAGCGUCCUCUUUGUCAACAUCUGCCUGCCUAUUGUCUUUAAGUACAGAAUAUUUUGUUGCACCGCUGCGCUCCGAUUUUUAUUCAUGAAAUGACUUCCCUUUUUUUUUUUCAGUCACGUAAUGAUCGGGUAUCAGAAAAAAGACGUCAGCAUCCUAGUCCCUCAAGGAAUGUAUUAACUAUUCUGUGCCAUCCUCCAGGAUGAUAAGAUCCGGAGUCAUCGACUUCUCAUAAACACCUUUCACUCAGACAAUCCAAUUUUUAGGAAGUCCAGUUAUUUUGAUGGUUUCCAAUUUCACCCAUUUAUCAAGGGCAGGUAAAGAAUUUGUUUCCAGAAUGGUAAAAAGUCAUCCUUUUUAACCACAUCCACCCUGUUUCUCUUUACUUUUUCAUCAAGCCCCACCACUGAGAGCUGUGGCCUCUGGACUCAAGCACCAUGGAGCUCUCCUAUUAAUAAAUUUAAUUUGGAUCUCCUAAUUUCUUGCGUAUGUUCUUUCAGAUGGACAAUUAAACGUGGAAGUCGUUUUGUUUUUAGAGGGAGGCCUUGAAAGAUUUUCAGUAAAUCUCUUGCGAGUCUAGCUGUCCCUGACAGUCUGGAAAGGAGUACAUCGAUUAGGGCUCUGUCAGGAGCUGGGCCUGUGGAGCUGUCCCUGUUCUGGGUGCUGAACCGCCUGGGCGCAGAUGCUGCAGGCAUGUUAAAUUGUCACCGGUUUAAUUUUCACCAGAGCCUCUAAAUCUGAAGAUUUGGCAGUGGUGCUGUUAGUGUGACAAUUCGUUGUCUAAAUCACCCCUCUUUUCCAAUCUAUCCCCCUCCCAGUGUCUACAAAGGCCCUCCAGUCUCCAUACUUGCUUUAGACCUCACUAAAAGGCACUCUGUCCUUUUAGUCCUGGUGUUUGGAUCUCCAGAUCUCCUGUUUGUACAACCUCACACUUUCUGUGCCUCUUACUGAUUUUAAAACUCGAAACUGGGACAUUAUGUUUUCCACGAGAAUUGAAAUUGUAAGAAUUGGGGGGUGAGAAAUGGGCUUUUUACACUUUCUUUACAAGUUAAAUUCUGUUUGGGGAAAUAUAGGCAGACUGGGAACGCAGGAUCCCCAGUACAAGUUCCUUUGCUGAGGGUUCCUAACGGGAAUCCCUCCCUUGGGAAUGACUAAAUUAUUUUAACUGAAAAUGACGUGGGAAGGAGAAAGCAAUGGGGGAGGACCUUAUCUGCCCUAAACCUUACAAGUCUCCAAGUAAUUUCUAAAAGAGUUAUAAAUAGGUACUCCAGUAAAAGAUCUUGGGUCUGUUUCUUCUAAAAAGGAAAUAGACUCAUCAAUAACCAUUAGCAUACAUUUUAAUUAUUGGAUCUCACACAAAAAUUAGAAGGAAUGUCAAUUAACUGAGAGUGUUUCCUGUUACUAUGAUUUGGAUCUAGCACUUCAAUAAGCAAUGUUCGUUCUGAAUAAUUUUUCCAAGCCCCAUUUCUCUUUCCCAAUGGCUUUCCCGCUCUUUGAGAUGAAAUACUUCCUGCAAGAAGGAAACGUUUUGCUAAUUCUGUGAAGGACCCCAGACUGCCUGCCACUUCUUAGUUUCUCACUCGCCUGCCCUCAGUAAUGCUCCAAACCACAGCGACAGGAAGUGUACAUCUUUGUCUCUGCUGCACAUGUCUGCAGAUCUAUGUUGCAGUGUUUACACGGGUGUGUUGUGUGUUCCUGUUCGGCUGUGCCUCUGCGCACACACAAAGAGCCUGCAGUGAACUGGACCAGACCGGCAAGCUGAGACGCCUUUCUUACUAAAGCGCCCAAAGCUAUUACCUGCUGUGGCUUUCCUGUCUUCCGCCUCUCGUCAAAGGAUCCCACUCUCUGAAGCAUCUCCAAUCAGAAAAGCUACAGCUACAUGGGAAUCUCCAUCUGCUCCUUCCUUGCAAAUCAGCGAAAUUGUGAUGACUAAUGGCUCACUUCAUCCCGGCGACACCUGUAGGGAAACCCAAAUGUUCUGCCCUGGAGCAUCGCGCCACCGCUGACUGGACCGCCUGCCUCAUGCGCUCCUGAACUCACCCUGAAGUAACGAGGGAUGAUGGAUCCGGCAUGUGUCACGGCUGCUCUGACCUUCAGAAUGCACUGCCUCACCACCGCUCUGAAAACAAGCAGGAGAGGAAAGCCAGAAAGCCAUCCAAACCACGAGAGCAGAGCAGCUCCCUCUGAUCCGAGCCCAGAGCUGCCUAUUCACAGGGCCAAGGGAUUUUCUCGGUUGUUUGCAGAUACAAAACAGACAUCCAAGAAACAAACACCAGGAUGUAAACUGUGCCAGGCUUUGGGUGAUUUCAAGCAGCACAUACAUGUGAGUCCUCCAAAGCCUAAUUUUCCAAAUGUCAGCUUACUUGUGAAUAAAAUAUAUAUUUUAAACUUCACUGCCUGGCAUCUGCCGAAUUCUACGGACAGAAGUUCCAGAACAUCUCUUCUUAACGUCCUCUCAGUUCAGUCUAAAU